GUGAGGAAUAUUGGACAAUGGGCGCAAGCCUGAUCCAGCCAUGCCGCGUGCAGGAAGACGCAUCUAUGGUGUGUAAACUGCUUUUGUACGGGAAGAAACACUCCCUCGUGAGGGAGCUUGACGGUACCGUAAGAAUAAGGAUCGGCUAACUCCGUGCCAGCAGCCGCGGUAAUACGGAGGAUCCAAGCGUUAUCCGGAAUCAUUGGGUUUAAAGGGUCCGUAGGCGGUUUAAUAAGUCAGUGGUGAAAGCCCAUCGCUCAACGAUGGAACGGCCAUUGAUACUGUUAGACUUGAAUUACAAGGAAGUAACUAGAAUAUGUAGUGUAGCGGUGAAAUGCUUAGAUAUUACAUGGAAUACCAAUUGCGAAGGCAGGUUACUACUUGUGGAUUGACGCUGAUGGACGAAAGCGUGGGGAGCGAACAGGAUUAGAUACCCGUGUAGACC
rnacentral:rRNA from 1 species